GCCCAGGUAGCUCAACUGGUAGAGCAACGGACUGAAAAUCCGUGUGUAGACAGUUCGACUCUGUCCCUGGGCACCA
rnacentral:tRNA from 1 species